ACUGCUUCUUGGCAUUUUGGUUAAGAUCAAGUGUAACAUCUGUUCUCAUCAGUUUAAUAUCUGUUAUGUCCUCUAUCUGAGGACAAUAUAUUAAAUGGAUUUGUGGAACUAGGAGAUGGAAUAUGAGCUUGUUCUGUCUACUCCACCCAUUGACCUCGUAUUGCAGUACUUCCAGGAAUGGUGCAUCAAAA
rnacentral:snRNA from 1 species